AAUUAAUGUAUCGAUUAUUCAUGCCUGAGGAGCUCUAUUUCCAGUGAUACUAAACUGCAAGUUGGCAACACCUGAUUUUCCUUCUCAAAAUGCACGGCUAAGCACUUUCUUGUACAUUUCAUCACAGUGAGGAUUUUUUGGAAAACCUCCAUCACAGUGUGACCGAAGCCCUGGAGGAGAAGGAAAAUGGCCCCAGCGGGUCCAAUGAAAUGCGCUUGGACAGAACUGACCACUGGCCUGUCAAGGAGAAGAAAGGGAGGUGCAAAUAUCCCGGCUGUAAAGGGAUCGGUGACAUGCACUUGUGCAUCAUAUCAAAAAGAAUCUGCUUUCUGGAGUUUCAUGCUGACAUGAGUUGAAGCUGAACCUUUGUUCAUGAGGAAGUGAAACCUGAAAGAGGGAGUGUCAUUUUGCUUCACACUGUAUGUUGAACACAUUAUCAUUGGUUUUCAUGUAAUAAAUCUACACUCAGCCAUGCAGAAGUGUAGUGAAACAAUGACAUACACUCAGUUCAUGUUGCUGUAAUCAUUCUAGAGAUGCUGGUCCCUAAUUGCAGGUAAUGUUUAAAUAAGGAGCCUAAUGUAAAACAUUCCCCACACUGUUGGACGACCACCAAAGCAACCGCUGAGAGUAUCUUUUUUGGUAUUAUGUAUUUGUCCAAUAGAUGGUGCUGUACAGUUAAAUUACAGUGGCAGGCUGUUCUGGACAGUGAUGGUCUACAUACUUAUUUUAUUCACAGAAUGCAUAUAAAUUAGCAAGUGCCAGUUAACAUUAUGGAAAAAAGCCAUUUCAUACUAAAAUACUUGGAGAACUAAUAUGGUUGUCCAUUCAUGCAACAGUGUUGUUACUGUUAACUGAAACUAAAAUUAUUACAAAUUGUUUUUGUCUGUUGAAAUGAAGCGUAAAUAAAAUAAAAUAAAAUAUAAAGUAACACUUUAUUUUAAUGUCCUUGUUACAUUUACUUACCAUAGUGAUUAUGCAUAAUUACAUGCAAAUAACCGUCAACCAAACCCUAAUCCUACCCUAACACUAUAGUAAGUACAUGUUGUUAAUUAAUGUUACUCAGUACUUUAAUAUAUAAUUACACUGUAACAAUGACACCUUAAAAUAAAGUGUAACCAAAUAUAAAUAUUAGAUGAAAAACUUUACGUUUAACCAAAAUAGAAAUUUUAGCUUAUAGCUGAAAUAAAAUAAGUACUAAAAUUUCUAAAACUAAAGCGGAAAUAAAAAUAAAAUAAAGCUAGAUAUAAAGACAAAAAAUGACAAAAUUACUAAUACUCAAAAUAAACAAAAAAUAAAACUGAAAAUAAAAAAUAAAAGCUAAUUCAAAAAUAUAAUAGUAUAAAAAAAUACUAAAAUAACAGCAAAGGUGGCAGCAAACUAUCAAAUUUGAAUUUGCAUUACUUUGGGAUCAAAUGUUAUUUUUGAAGUGGGUUUGAUUCAUAAAUACACCAGUUCUAUCAAUACAAAAAACAGAUUUUGGUUUAUCAGUCGUUUUUUUUUUUUUUUUUUUUGGCGCACCAAAAAUAUUCUCGUCGCUUUAUUAUAUUAAUAUUGAACCACUGUACUCACAUGAACUGAUUUAAAUAUGUUUUUAGUACAUUAAUGGAUCUUGAGAGAGGAAAUGUCAUUGCUGGCUAUGGAGGCCUCACUGAGUCAUCGGAUAACAGUACAAUAUAUGUUACCAAUAUAUGUUACAGUCAACAUAUAUUGGUUGUAUAUUGGUGUGGACAUUAUGAAUAUAGCAUCAUUAUAGUUACCGUUCUUGGCAUGAACAUCUUUAGAGUUAAAAACGAUUUUUAAAAAUGUAUCGUUAUAGAUAUGUUGCUUAGUGUGAACUGGCCUUAUGUGUGCACACACAUCUUUGUAGGAGUGAAGCUACCAAAAAUAUCUCCAAAAAGUGAAAUUAGUUUCUGAGACUCCAGCAGCAUUAUUUGUUAAGCAUGACUUUAGUUUCCAAACAGCUUUUGGGAGUCACUCUACUGUAUUUUCGGUUUUCUUGAUGGAUGUUUUUGAAAGUUUCUUUGCCAUCAGAUUAGGGUUGUAUCUCGAUGAGGGUGGGCGAUACAGGGCAGAUUCUGUGAGGCUGAAUGAGCGUCUGAAAGGCUCAUCACUGUAUGGGACAAGGACAGCUCUGUGAUCUCCAGCUCAUCUCAUUCAUACAGGCAUAAACACAUAAACCCCACACUGCUCAGAGAACAAUGACAUCAAGCCAGUUAUUUUAAUACACCCCAUUGUGUCUGACGUGCCAGGCUGAGCCUUGGUAUCUAUUUAUUAGUUUUGAUACAUACAUAUUCUAUUGUUCACAGCAUAAGUCGUGUUUUGUUCGUCCGGGGUGGUCUGGGAUCAGCUCGGUCCAGCUGGGAGACGUUAGACUGCCUCAUUGUGGUUCUCAGAAGAUCACUGGAGAUGGGAUGUUAAUAAGAUGUGUCAUUUGAAAUGUACAGUUUUCAUUCAAGUAUUGAGACACUUAAACAAUAGUUUCAUUUUACUGUAUUUAUUUAUUUAUAAUAAACUUAUUUUUGGCUUAAACUUAGCCACUAUAAAUUAAAUUACAUAUGCAGUCUGAGUGCAAGGCAUACAGAAGCACUUAAAAGUCUCUUCAAGGUUAAAUGACUGUGAGACUGCUGCUAAUUUAUGAUCUCCUGAGCUGAUAUACAUGACUAUAUGCCAAUGUGUCAUGGUGAUAAGAUUUUUCUUCACAGCAUUAAUGAAUUUUGAUGCUUUGUUGAAUUAACAUGUGCUGUCUGCUUCUGGCAUGGACAUAUAUGUCCCUGAAAAUAAAUAGCUGUAUGUGUAUAUCGGUCCAACUGGCGCAGGUCACAGAAAAUAUCAUAGCUGGACCAUUUUGAGUCACACAGUUCAUGCCAGGAAAACUGAUUAAUAUUUGGCUUCAAAAAAUGACAGGAGGAUGAUGUAUAGCUUUAUCUUCCCAUCAAAACACUAUAAAGAGAUGAAUAGCCUUAAGAGAAGAUUGCAAAUGUAAAGUGAAAUAAAUUAACAUAUAUAUAUUACCAGCAGACACUUUCAGUUGUGACAUAUAUCCAAAGGAAAUGGCUACUCAAAUGAGAAAAAAAUGUAGGGCGGGGCUUGAUUUUUGUCCAUGGGAAAUUGAUUGGGUGGUUGUGGUUUGCUAUUGGUGGAUCCCAUAUGAAUGACAGGUUGCCCCGCCCUCAUGCCAGUUAACACGUCAUCACAGGCCCUGUUUACAUCUGGUAUUAAGAUGCGUUUUGGUCGAUCGGAUCACAAGUGGACAGUGCUAAAAACAUAUGGUGUAAACGGGGUCUAAAACAUUUUGAGUUUUUCCACUUUCAACCACUUCCAGAGGUAGUUGAAAACUCAUCCGACUGGAUUGCUUUCAUAGUGUAGACGAUCAUGUGAUCAAACAGCCACAAAAGACUGCCUACUCUCCACCUACUGACUUAAUGAGUAAACAUUAUGGAAAGCGCGCUAGCCAGAUGGGAUUUAAACUUUGUUGGCUGAAGACACAAGUUUGAUUUGAAGGUGAAAAAUGUACCAAGCACAAUGUUCUCUCACCAUUCCUGAUUUCUAACACACACUCACUGCGUUCGGCUGGUCUUGCGGCUGUCAGAGCAGAAACGAAAGCUGCUGCUCUUCAUAUGUUUUCCCACCAUCUCUGUAUGUUCAUAUGUUCAUAAUUGUGCAAGCUUAUUUUGUCCAUUAGAUCAAACAGUCUGAAAAAAACCCUUACGUAUACCUGCCCUUACCCGCCCAUUGACCCUUCCCUCGAAGAAGUCAGGACAGAAGUGGUUGAAAGUGGAAAAAAGAGAUGGAUUAAAACACCAGGUCUAAACGGGAAUGUGUCUCCCUUGUCCACUUGUGAUCUGAUCGACCAAAAUGCAUGAAUCUUAAUACCAGAUGUAAACAGGGCCAUAGAAGAGAAGAGAUGUUAUUUUGAUGACAUGAUUUUAAUAAUGAUUUUGCUUGGAUAAAUCAUUAAUAAUAAUUACUGCAAAAUUUGUCCAUUUUGAUCUCAUGGUUGUCAGGGUUAUGUUUAAGUCUGUUUAGUUUCAUUGUGUUUUGGUUUUGUUUUCCAUGUUCCUGUUUUACCUGUGUUCCUGGUCAUUAUUAGUUUCCAUAGUUACUCAUUAGUUCCUCACCUGUUAUGUUGAUUACUCUGUCUAUUUAAACCCUUAAUGUCCUCUGUUUAUUGUUCCAUGUUGGAACAAUUACAUGAUUGUGCUGUAUUAUUAUUCCUGUUCUCCUGAGUGUUCCUGUUGGAUUUACUAAAGAUUUUUGUUAUAAUUACUGCAUCAUGCACUUUCUACAGCUGCUAAUUGUGACAGAACACAGAACCUCAAAACAAAAAGUAAAGAAAAUGGACUUACUAGCAGUCCACCUGCUCUGCCUAGAGUAGGAGCAGCGUAACCUUGAGGACCACAUUAAGGACUUCCUAGAUCUGCAUGCCUCACCCACUACCCGGAUUGCUUGUUUUCCGUCUUCUACUACACCAUCCUUAGCAAGCGUUCCAAGGCACGUCUGCACAGUGAUUGCGUUUGGGGGAAUUUUUACCGCAUUUGUGGAGUGGGUGUUGGUGAACAAAGAAUAAUCCACUGAGGAGGACAUCACACACCCUACUCUGGACCCAGAGCCCAGCCAGCCACCUCCCACACCCUGCAAGGUCCCACACUAUGCCAGAGCCUACCGCGGACUAGGAACCCGAACUUGCCAUGAUGCCUAUGCCAGAGCAUACCAUGGCCCCAGAGCCAAAGCCCAAUGAAGAGUCUCACCAGGUGCGUGAGCCAGCAACAUCAUCCGUCCCAGUGGGAUUGCUCUUGGAGUUAGAGAGCAAUGGAGUGGAGCCCCGCCCACACUCCCGCUGCUUAGUAUGAGCUGCAUAUGGCCUCUGCAUGGGAAAUGUUAUGAGGAUUUGGUAGAAGAUAAUCUCCAUGGUAUCCUGUCCCCGCUGGUCCCACCAGUUCCAAGUCUCUUGGGUCUCUGCUUGUCCUGCCCAGCUCCAAGUCUCCUGUGUUUCCACUGGUCCUGCCCAGCUCCAAGUCUCCUGUGUCUCUGCUGGUCCCACCCAGCCUCCCUCUCCCACCUCCUCUACCAAAAACAGCUAGUCCUUCAGCCCCACCUCCGUUGUUUCCCAUCAGGUCCCUCAGCUCCCCCUGUGCUGUGUGGAUCUGCCUCAUGUCUUUUGAUAUCCAGCUUUGCCUUGGCAAGGGGAUCCCAUGGCUCCACCUCCAGCCGCCGAACCCAUCACUCCACCUCGGCUCGUCGGCCCCACCUUGGCUCCUCCCUCCCUCGGCUUAACCUGAGCCCCAUCAUCCUUAGGGCUUCACCAGACUCUCUUGUCCCUCCAGCUUCGCCUUGGUCAGUCGUCGCUCUGCCUGCACCAUGGUCUUCAGCUGUGCUUUGUCCCUCCACCUUCAUCGGCUCUGUCUCAGUCUGUCAUCCCCCUGGGUUUAUCUGCCAACCCUGUUCCCAUUUUACAUGUGUUCCUGGUAAUUAUUAGUUUCUACAGUUACUCAUUAGAUCCUCACCUGUUCUUUGUUCUGUUGAUUAUUCUGUCUGUGUAUUUAAACUUUGUAUUGUUGCGUGUCAUUGUUUUUACGUGGUUGUGCUGUAUUCCUAUUCCUGUUAUCUCCUGAGUGUUCCUGUUGGAUUUAUUAAAGAACGUUUUUUGUUGUAAUUCCUGCGUUGUGCACUUUCUAUGGCCACCAGUUGUGACAAUAACAUUUAUUACAUGGCUCUCUGAAAAGCUUGAUUCUGGUUGAUCAUUCGUAACAUUCCAAAUUAAGUUAAGGUGCAUUCAAACAUUUGCAUUUCAUUCAAACGCAGCUGCUGCCGUCUUGCACCUUGGUUAUGAACAGUAUUUACUGUAAAAUAAACUGGAGGAUUAUUCAGUAUUAAUAGUAGGCCUACUGUAAUAUUGUUGAAGUGUCUGUCUUGUUGUUAGAACAAUUGUUUGUACACUGUAUUGUAAUUGUUAUCUUGUAAUGUAUUACAAGAUAAUAAACAGGUAAGAUUUUCUUCUCAAAUCAAUAUUUCAUGACACCACAGGAAUGUUUUUCCAAUGAGCCUGGUUUGCUACUUUUAAUUAUUCAGUGGAGCUGUAGCAAAUUUAUAUUCAGACAGAUGACAAUACAAAAAUCAAAAGUGGGCAAUUUGCCCAGCAUUCACAACCCAUUCACAUUCUUUCCUGCACUUUACCUCAAAAGACAGGAACUAAUUAGUGUACACUGUAUAGUCUGUUCAGUACAGUAGUUCACUGUGAGCACCGUCCUGCUCUAGUGCACCGUGCCGUCAUGUUUCCUUCCACAGCACCAUUAGUUGUUUGGGUUUUCGUAUUCUUCAGAGUCUGGGAUAAAAUAGACUGCAGCGUUGGAUGUCAGAGCCAACCACACAUGUUCAAGGCCUUCCUUUUCUCAGAGGACAACCAGCAGCU